rnacentral:rRNA from 1 species
GAUGAACGCUGACGGCGUGCCUAAUACAUGCAAGUCGAGCGAACGGACGAGAAGCUUGCUUCUCUGAUGUUAGCGGCGGACGGGUGAGUAACACGUGGAUAACCUACCUAUAAGACUGGGAUAACUUCGGGAAACCGGAGCUAAUACCGGAUAAUAUUUUGAACCGCAUGGUUCAAAAGUGAAAGACGGUCUUGCUGUCACUUAUAGAUGGAUCCGCGCUGCAUUAGCUAGUUGGUAAGGUAACGGCUUACCAAGGCAACGAUGCAUAGCCGACCUGAGAGGGUGAUCGGCCACACUGGAACUGAGACACGGUCCAGACUCCUACGGGAGGCAGCAGUAGGGAAUCUUCCGCAAAGGGCGAAAGCCUGACGGAGCAACGCCGCGUGAGUGAUGAAGGUCUUCGGAUCGUAAAACUCUGUUAUUAGGGAAGAACAUAUGUGUAAGUAACUGUGCACAUCUUGACGGUACCUAAUCAGAAAGCCGCGGCUAACUACGUG